GCUAUGAUGACUUGUUUCAUUUGAUCCAUUGGAGUUGAUUUUUCACUUGUUCUCUAAGAAGUACUGAGCCU